AUUGAACGCUGGCGGCAGGCCUAACACAUGCAAGUCGAACGAGUGGCGGACGGGUGAGUAAUUUCUGGGAAACUGCCUGAUGGAGGGGGAUAACUACUGGAAACGGUAGCUAAUACCGCAUACCAUCAGAUGUGCCCAGAUGGGAUUAGCUUGUUGGUGGGUUAACGGCUCACCAAGGCGACGACCCCUAGCUGGUCUGAGAGGAUGACCAGCCACACUGGACCGUGGACACGGACCAGGCGCCGACGGGAGGAAACAGUCGGAAAUAGUGCACGAAGGGCACGAGACUAAUGCAGCAAUGCCACAUGUAUGAGGAAGACCUUCAGGUUGAAAAGUACUUUCAGCGAGGAAAAGUUACCAGCAGAGGAAGCACAAGCUAACUCCGUGCCAGCAGCCGCGGUAAAAC
rnacentral:rRNA from 1 species